UACGUAGGGUGCAAGCGUUAAUCGGAAUUACUGGGCGUAAAGCGUGCGCAGGCGGUUUCGUAAGCCAGACGUGAAAGCCCCGGGCUUAACCUGGGAAUUGCGUUUGGGACUGCGAGGCUGGAGUGCGGCAGAGGGAGGUGGAAUUCCACAUGUAGCAGUGAAAUGCGUAGAUAUGUGGAGGAACACCGAUGGCGAAGGCAGCCUCCUGGGCUAGCACUGACGCUCAUGCACGAAAGCGUGGGGAGCAAACAGG
rnacentral:rRNA from 1 species